UUUUUUUUUUUUUUUUUUUUUAAGAUUCUUUUUUUUAAUUUAUUUAUUUGAGGCAGAGUUACAGGGAGAGGGAGAGGCAGAGGCAGAGAGAGAGGUCUUCCAUCCACUGGUCCACUCUCCAAAUGGCCACAGCGGCCAGAGCUGGGCCAAUCUGAAACCAGGAGCCAGGAGCUUCUUUUGGGUCUUCCAGGAGGGUGCAGGGGCCCAAGGACUUGGGCCAUCUUCUACUGCUUUCCCAGGCCAUAGCAGGGAGCUGGAUCAGAAGUGGAGCCCAUAUGGCAUAUUGGCACUGCGGUGUAAGCCCACUACACCGCAGUGCCAGCCCCUGGUGGUCUGCUUUUUAUUCUUGAGAGUUUUGGCCAGUGCUAGAACUUCACAUGCAAUCUCCACUCUGUGGGGGCAUUGUUUCCCUCCACCAAGGUUGGCAAUGGAAGUACCAGGAAUAGCUCUCUAGUUUUCCUUUUUUUCCUUUUCCUUUCUGUUUUACUCGUGAGUAUUUUAGAGUAUGCAUGUUCUUGGUCUCGUGGUUGGAACUGUGAUCAGCUUUUGUAUUUGUUCUUGCUUGGGGCUCUCUGGAGAGACUUUGAUGUAGGUAACUGUCCAUAGUGUGUCUGCCUGCCAGCAUUUUCAAACAUACAAGAAGAGAGAUUGUUGAUGCCCACAGAGAUUCUAAAAUGGACAAGUAUUUACUGCCCUGGCUGGAUCUGUCCAUCCUCCCUCUGCCAUUUAAAAUACACACUUAGCUGUCUGCCUCUAGAAAAAUACAGCACUUCUGUUUCAUGGCUAUGAGGCCAUUAUUAAAUUCAACAAAAUUACCAGUAAUUCAUUGGUAUCAUUUAAAAUUUAGGGGCCUUUGUCAUGGUGUAGCCAGUAAAAGCCACUGCCUGUGACACCGGCAUCCCAUGUGAGUGCCGGUUCAUGUCCUAGAUGCUGCACUUCGAUUCCAGCUCCCUGCUAACAGCCUGGGAAAACACUGGAAGAUGGCCCAAGUGGGAGACCUGGGUGGAGUUCCCGGCUCCCGCCUGGCCCAGCCCUGGCCAUUGCAGCCAUCUGGAGAGUGACCCAGUGGAUGGAAGACCUCUGUCUCUGUUUCUUCCUCUCUCUCUGUAACUCUAGCAAAUAAAUAAAUCUUUUUAAAAAAAAUUUAGACUAUGUUCAGAUUGCUCGGAUUUGCUUAAAAAUGCCCCGUAGCCAGUUCACUUGAAGGAAGGUCCAGACGAAGUCCACACUUGACGGUCACUGCUAAUCGUCCGAGCGUCCCCUCCUGUCCUCCCACCACUGGCUGCGUUGCGGAACCUGGGUUGGUCGUCCAGUAAGUCACCCGCUUCUCUUUACUUUUGCUUUUGACUUCUUUUACUUUAAACUCUAUUUAUUAACAAAUUUCUAACCAUGUCAUUGCCAUUGCAACAAACAUUUUGGAAACAACUUUUUAAAAAAUUUUUGAUUUGAGACAUUAUUUUGAAUAUUCUUAAUAAUUGACUGUAUUUCACCUUAAAGCAGUAGUUCUCAAACAUUUUGGUCUUGGUACCUCCCCACACUCUUAAACAUUUUUGAAAACCUGAAAGAGUUUUUGUUGCUGUGUGAUAUGCAAAUAGCCAUUAAUAUUUACCAUAUUAGAAGUUAAAACUGGGGACUGGUGUUCCGCCUGCGGUGCCAGCAUCCCAUAUGGGUGCCAACUCUAGUCCUGGCUGCCCCUCUUCCAGGCCAGCUCUCUGCUGUGGCCCGGGAGUGCAGUGGAGGAUGGCCCAAGUGCUUGGGCCCUGCACCCCAUGGGAGACCAGGAGAAGCACCUGGCUCCUGGCUUCAGAUCGGCGCAGCGUCUGCCAUUAUGGCCAUUUGGGGAGUGAACCAACGGAAGGAAGACCUUUCUCUCUGUCUCUCUCUCUCUCUCACUGUCUGUAACUCUACUUGUCAAAUAAAAAAUCUAAAAAAAAAAAAAGUUAGAACUGAGAAAUAUCUAAGACAUAAGAAUACACGAGCCACUCAGCGUCGUGUUGAUGUGACCUCGUGGUGUGCAGGCUCCAGAAGUUCCCACGUGAACUUGAGAGUUAGACUGAAACACACAAAGCAGUGGCUGCUGUUGGCCUAAAAACAACUUGAUCUCACGGGCCCCUUGGAAGGGUCUCUGUCGCCUUCGUGUCCGGCGCACGGCUUGAGAACUGAUGCCAUAAAGGGGUCUGACUUGGAGCCACAUUCAGUACGAUUUUUGUGUGUGUCAAAAAUGAAGAAGAACUAUAAAGACCACGUUUUUCUUACAAAGUUUGUUAAAUGGCAUUUUUACCCAAAGAGUGUUUAACAGGGAAUUCCAAUAAUAUCCCACGGAGUGACAAAGAUGUUAGAACGUGGGUUCAGAUUUCCGAAGUGGUUGUUGCUGUCACAUUGUAGAAUUUAGUGCCUUCAGAAAUAGCGGGACAGCGAAGUGACUUUCUGAGUCCUCAUAUCUGGGGAGGUCAUUCUCAGAUCGCUGCUGGGUGUGGCUUAGCGUGGUGGGGGAGUCAGCUGCUUCACCCCUCGCACCGGGCUUUCCCACCUUCACACUGCCUUCCGUCUUGGCCCGGCUGAUUCUUCGUUGUGUGGGGCGGUCCUGUUGGUGGUCAGAAGUGUGGCAGAAUCUCGCUCUGGCUCUGGCUCUGGGUCUCUCGCUUGCGCGCAUGCACUCUCUCUCUCUCUCUCUCCCUCUCUCUCUCAGAUUUAUUUGAGAGGUAGAGCUAUCGAGAGAUAGAGAGAGACAGAGAAUGGUCUUCGGGGCCAGCACUGUGGAGUAGCGGGUAACAUUGCCACCUGCGGUGCCAGCACCCCAUAUGGGCACCGGUUCUAGUCCUGGCUGCUCCACUUCUGAUCCAGCUCUCUGCUAUGGCCUGGGAAAGCAGUGGAAGAUGGCCCAAAUGCUUGAGUCCCUGCACCCACGUGGGAGACCCGGAGGAAGCUCCUGACUCCUGGCUUUGGGUUGGCACAGCUCCAGCUGUAGUGGCCAAUUGGGGAGUGAACCAGUGGAUGGACAGCCUCUCUUUCUCUCUCUAUUUCUCUCUCUCUCUCUUUCUCUCUCUCUUUCUCUCUUUCUCUACCUUUCCUUCUCUGUGUAACUCUGACUUUCAAAUAAAUAAAUAAAAUCUAAAAAGAAAAGAGAUUGGUCUUCAAUCCACUGGUUCACCCCCUAAAUGGCCACAACGGCCAGAGCUGGGCUAAUCCAAAGCCAGGAGCUUCUUCUGGGUCUCCCACAUGGGUGCAGGGACCCAAGAGCCCAGGCCAUCCUCUGCUGCUUUCGCAGGCCAUUAGCAAGGAGCUGGAUUGGAAGUGGAGCAGCCAGGACUCGAACCAGUACCCAUAUGGGAUGCAGGUGCCACAGGCGGAGGCUUAGCCUAUUGCACCCCAGCCCCGAGGCAGAAUCUCUUCACCCCAGUUGCUGGUAGCCUGCCCUUUCCCUGUAAAGCUCUAACAGUUAGCACUAGCCACAGCUGAAUGAAUGUCCUUUGCUGGACAAACAAGCAAAAAGAAGUUAAGAACCACUACCCCCAAACCAAGCAGUUCCUUCCUAGGAGUAGAUCUAAGGAAAACUUUGUCCCAUGGUGAAAGUGAUAAAAUUAUCCAAUUUUCAGACUCCAUUUUUUUUUUUUUUUUUUUUUUUACAGGCAGAGUGGACAGUGAGAGAGAGAGAGAGAAAGGUCUUCCUUUGCCAUUGGUUCACCCUCCAAUGGCCGCCGCGGCUGGCGUGCUGCGGCUGGCGCACCACGCUGAUCCGAUGGCAGGAGCCAGGUACUUCUCCUGGUCUCCCAUGGGGUGCAGGGCCCAAGCACUUGGGCCAUCCUCCACUGCACUCCCUGGCCACAGCAAAGAGCUGGCCUGGAAGAGGGGCAACCGGGACAGAAUCCGGCGCCCCAACCGGGACUAGAACCCAGUGUGCCGGCGCCGCUAGGUGGAGGAUUAGCCUAGUGAGCCACGGCGCCGGCCAGACUCCAUUUUUUUUUUUUUAAGGGAAAAGGUUUAUUGAUGUGGAAAUCUGACAGGCCGGAUGGAAAGGGUGAAGAAUAAAAAAGAGGGGGGUCGAGAGAGAGAUCGCACGUGUGUGGGAAGCAGGUCCCGCUCCAUGUGUGGGAGCAGUGAAUCCCAUUAGGGUCGGGCUGGAGCUGACGUCUGUGGGUGGGCCAUUUGGUCAGCUGACUUCUAGCAGUAGCUACGGGACCAAAGCUAGGAUGGUGUGCAGGGCGUCGACUGUGCCACAGCUAAUACCUACCCCUGUGCCCUUUUACUAGCACCCUCCCCUUUAUUCCUGGGUUGAGGAGAAGCUCUUGACUCUUUCAUUUAUGUGCCCUUUGCAGCCUUGGACAGAAAACAACUCAUUUUCCUUCACCACCUUUGAGGACAGAUUCUCCAUAUCCCAACCUCCUUUGUCUCUUUUAGCAGUUUCUGUAUUAAAGUCUGUCUGUCUGAUACUAGGAUGGCUACCCCAGCUCUUUUGGUCUCUGUUAGCAUGGUGUUGUGGGGCACAGCAAGCAAAAGGCCACCAAAGCGAUUAAGUUAAAUGAGGAGUCUUUGUUAGCCAGCUGGCGGCUGCCCUGCUCCCAGAACAAGUCCGUAGGAGACAGCCCCGAGUUUCAGUUGUGGGGCGUUUUUAAAGGCAAAAACCAUAUUUUGGUGGUCUUGGCUGUUAGCAAGCAAGCAGAAGUACAGAAGCCAGAAAUAUGCCUGUUCCAGCCGGAUGAGCAGACCGAUAUCCAUAACUUGUUUCUCUCAAAGGAACAGUCCUUCUCUGAAGCAAGCAGUCGGGAUAACCUGUAGGCACCCGGGCUUGCUGUGUCCUGUGGGAACAAUGGAGCAUCCUUCCAGCCUUUCACUUUGAGUCUGCGUGCAUCUCUGUUGGUGAGAUGUGUUUCUUGUAGGCAGCAGAUAGGUGGUUUUGUGUUUCAAUCCCUUCAGCCAUUCCAUGACUUUUAACUGAGUUGAGGCUAUUUACAUGUCACAAAGUGACUACUGGUAAGUAACGCCCUGGCCCUGCCAUUUUUCCAUACAUAGUCCUAUUUUUUACUUUCGAUUUCCUUUGUACUUUUCCUGGGAGAUUUUCUUCCUUUACCUUCUUCCAUAGCGAUGACCAUGUUUCCGUGUUUCCGUGUGCAGCACAUCCUUAAGCAUCUUGUGCAAGGCUGGAUGGGUGGUGACAAAUCCUCUCAAUUUCUGUUUGUCGUGGAAGGUCUUUAUUUCGCCUGCAUUCAUAAAUGAGAGCUUGGCAGGUACAGCAUUCUGGGUUGACAGUUUUUUUCUCUUAAGGCUUGGAGUGUAUCUCUCCAUUCUCUCCUAGUCUGUAGGGUUUCUGAUGAGAAGUCAGCUGUGAGUCUAAUUGGAAAUUCUUUGAAAGUCAUCUGGCAUUUCUCUCGUGCACACCUUAGAAUCUACUCUUCAUGUUUUACUGUGGAGAGUUUGACUACAGUGUGUUGUGGUGAAGAUCUUUUCUGGUCAUGUCGAUUAGGAGUUCUGUGUGCUUCCUGUACUUGGAUGUCCCUUUUUUUCUCCAAAUUAGGGAAAUUUUCUGUUGUUAGUUUUCUAAUUUCCUCUUCUUGUUUUUUUUGUCUAUUUAUUUUUUAAAGAUUUUAUUUAUUUAUUUGAGAGGUAGAGUUACAGAGAGAGAGAGAGAGAGAGAAAGGUCUUCCUUCCGUCGGUUCACUCUCUAGAUGGCCGCAACGGCCAGAGCUACGCUGAUCUGAAGCCAGGAGCCAGGAGCUUCUUCCCGGUCUCCCACACAGGUGCAGGGGCCCAAGGACUUGGCCCAUCCUCUACUGCUUUCCCAGGCCAUAGCAGAGAGCAGGAUUGGAAGAGGAGCAGCCAGGACUAGAACUAGCACCCAUAUGGGAUGCCGGCGCUGCAGGCAGAGGAUUAACCUACUGCGCCAUGGUGCCGGCCCCUGUCUGACUAUAUAAUUUCCUGUGAUUUGUCUUCUAAGUCAGAUAUUCUUUCUUCUGCUUCACCAAUUCUGUUGUCAAGGCUUUCCACUGCAUUUAGAAUUCUAUUGAAUUCUUCAUUUCCAAGAUUUCAUUUUGCUUUAAGAUCUCAAUUUCAUGGGAGAAAUUUUCUUUCAUGUCAUGUACAGAUUUCAUUAGUUUGUGCAUUUGCUUCUGAUUACUUCUAUGUAAUCUUUUUUUCAAAAAAGAUUUAUUUUUUAUUUAUUUGAAAUCAGAGUUACAGAGAGAGGUAGAGACAGAGAGAGAGGUCUUCCAUCCACUGGUUCACUCCCCAGAUGACCACAAUGGCUGGAGCUGCACUGAUCUGAAACGGGAGCCAGGAGCUUCUUCCAGGUCUCCCACGUGGGUGCAGGGCCCAAGCAUUUGGGCCAUCUUCUACUGCUAUCCCAGGCCACAGCAGAGAGCUGGAUUGGAAGAGGAGCAGCCGGGACUAGAACCGGCGCCCUUAUGGGAUGCGGUGCUUCAGGCCAGGGCUUUAACCCACUGUGCCACAGCGCCACCCCACUUCUAUGUAAUCUUAUCAAUUUUUUGAAUUCCAUUUCGUGCAUUUCUUCAGACUCUUCAUCUUCACAGUCCAGUACUGAGGUGUUGUGUUCUUUUGGGGGCAUCAUGUUUCUUGCUUCUUGAAUUGGUGCAUUUAUUAUUUGGCGUCUGUGGAGAUAUUGGUUGGCUUCUUGUUGUUUUCUAUAAGGCAGGUGUUGUAUGAGGUUGCAUUGGCCUCGAAAGGCCAGGCGGGGUGGAGGAGCGAUGGUCUAUCUUCUAUAGCUGCAGGGGCGACAGGCCUCGGGCCUCUGGCGUGGCGCAGUGUCUCCAGCUGUUUCCUAGGUGGGGAGCCCAGUACACCCCUGGAGCAGCGUUUGGUCGACCGCCUGGUUGGUGAAGGCUUUGGUGCGUCCCGUUCUCACCUCCUAGAACACUUAAACACACAAGGUCGUAUAAAAGCCAGGGUGAGAAUAGCAGCCAGUGGUCCUAGGAGUGGCAUUAACCAAGUGAUGAGAGGAGUUCUUUCAGAGAAGAAAUGAGGAGGGUCUUUGGACCCUUGUGAAGAUUGUUAGAUGGGUGUGGUUAACAUAAUAACAACACUGGUAAGGCGCAUCUGUCCCAUAGUGCCACACCUGUUAGUGAGCUGAUUCGGCUUUGGGGACCUCGGAUGGCAUCAGCUGAGGUCUAAUGAGGAUGGGCCUAAUGACCUCCACUUGUAGCUGUCGGGGUUGUUUUGAGUCGGUUGGUCAAGAUAAUGUGGCCCAAAGCUGUUCCUGAGAUCACUACUGAGGAGAGGGAGGCUGCGAAGCUGAUCCCAACCAAGACGGGAGAAAGGCCACUCGUCUCUUGUGGGCAGAGGGGUUUGUCUGCAGGAAAAUUCUGAACAGUCAUACAACGUUAAGUGGGGGAGAGGACCAUCAAUCCACACGGGUCGGGAGUAGAGCCAUUGGUGUAAGUAAGAGUAGAGGCUAUGAUUACAAAGGAUUGAGACCCCAAGUGGGCCAGACAGAGUCUAGAACAAAGGACAGAGCCAUUAUUGGAGGACCUAAGAAAACCAUGAGGAAGUGUUUUGAUUGAGAGGCAAAUGGAGACUGACAGAAGAGGCUUGAUGAUGAUCAGGUGGGCUUGAAGGCCUUGUCAGUCAUGAGGCCCAGAGCUGUCUGUCUCUUCACAAAGGCACCCUGUUGACUUGCAUUACCUGGCUGGCCUGGGAGGAGAGCUGGCCAGGUGAAGGCAGGUGUCAUCUCUAACAGGAAAUGUACAGUUCUGCAGUGUCACUGACCCUGCUUGGCCGUCCCCUCAGCAGCCAUGGUCACUUUUUAAGCUGGGCCGAGUGAAGGGCUUCUCAGACCUGAAACCCUUCGCCUCCAGGGCAGGUCCAUCUCCAGGGACCCAGCUCUUGGCUGGCAGAGCGGCCAGGGCUCUUCACAGGCUGACCUCUGCUGAAGCCCUGGUUUUCCACAUCGAAAACCAGUGCAGUGGACUGGCCCGUUGGGUCUCCUUGAGGGCAGAUCACUGCAAAGCAGCGUUAACUGGCUGCCACCCGUCUUCACGUUGCUGCCGCUGCCUCGCUUCCUCUUCCUCCCGGUUUUGUUACAGCAGACCAGAGGGUGCAAGUCAGGGGGUGUUCAUCAGACUCAGUGUUAAGAUGACCAAAGAACAAUAGGUUCAAAUGAAAUUUAAUGAAGAGAAUGGAAGAAAGGCUGAAAAACAAGAGAGUGACAAUGAUAAAAGUAGAAAGAGCCAGAGAAAGAGUGAGUGAAAUGAAACACAGCCAAAGAGAAAACAGUGCAAGUAUGAUUGGAGUCCAGGGAAGAAAAAGCCAAAGUAAUAGAAGAGAAAUAGUAUGUAAAACCAAUCUAAGAGAAGUUUCUAGAAAUUGCAGAAGGUCUGAAUCUAUACAUUGGAAGGACCUACUGGGUAAUUGGCAUUAUUAACCAGAAAUAAUCAAAUCUACAAUAUAUCCUGGUAAUACAGUUAUACUUAAAAGAUAAGAUAAAGAAAAAACACUUCAGUCUUCCAAACUAAAAAAAAAAAAAAAUCAAUUAACUUAAGUGCAAAGAAUCAGACUGCUCAAAAAGAUACAGAUACAGAUGCAGAUAUAUAGAUAUAGAUACAGAUAUAGAUACAGGUAUAGAUAUAGAUAUAGAUACAGGUAUAGAUAUAGAUACAGGUAUAGAUAUAGAUAUAGAUACAGGUAUAGAUAUAGAUACAGGUAUAGAUAUAGAUACAGAUAUAGAUACAGGUAUAGAUAUAGAUACAGGUAUAGAUAUAGAUACAGAUACAGAUAUAGAUACAGGUAUAGAUAUAGAUACAGGUAUAGAUAUAGAUACAGGUAUAGAUAUAGAUACAGGUAUAGAUAUAGAUACAGGUAUAGGUAUAGAUAUAGAUACAGGUAUAGAUAUAGAUACAGGUAUAGAUAUAGAUACAGAUACAGGUAUAGGUAUAGAUAUAGAUACAGGUAUAGAUAUAGAUACAGGUAUAGAUAUAGAUACAGGUAUAGAUAUAGAUAUAGAUACAGGUAUAGAUAUAGAUACAGGUAUAGAUAUGGAUACAGGUAUAUAUAUAGAUAUGGAUACAGGUAUAGAUAUAGAUAUGGAUACAGGUAUAGAUAUAGAUACAGGUAUAGAUAUAGAUAUGCCAGGCAGUGAUGGAGCAGCAUCUGCAGACAGGUGUGAGUUACGGAUCUAUGAUACUCCUCAUGUGUGGGUAUCUCAGGUAUGCGGGCCAGCGGAAGACCGUGUUGACAGGGAGUUCUGUGCCUGUGGGCCGUCUUAGGGAAGAGCUUCCCCCAGCCCAGCGGUGGGUGAGAAAGCCUGAGCAGCAAGGCUGGGGGUGAGCGCGUCGUGCAGGAACUGCAGGUGCGGGGGGGGCUCCAAAACACAGGGGGCCUUUCUUCUUGUUCCAAAGACGGACAGACAUACAGAGUCCUGUCCUCUGAUUCACUCCCCAGCUGUCCACAAGGACUGACUGAGCUGGACUGGAGCUGGGAGCCAGGAAUGCAGGCCAGGCCUUCCGUGAGAGUGGCAGCCAUGGCCAUCGCUCCCAGGGUCUGCAUUAGCAGGAAGCUGGGGUCAGGACCCAGAGCUGGGUGUAGAGCCGGGGCGCUCCAGUAUGGGGCGCAGGCAUCUCACCCAGUGUCUGGACUGCUAGGCCAAACGCCCACCCUGCAUUGUCGUUUAAUUCUACUUUCCACACACUUUGUGAAAUCCGUGUAUAGUUUUUGAAGACCGCUUGCAUGCAUGGAUUUCAAAUGUCUUUGUAACACAAUCGACUUACCUUAAAUUCCAUUUUCCAUGAAUUACUGAAGUCCCCACAUAUAUGAGAAUAAGGAUACCAAUAAAUACUGAGCAACAAGAUGCUAAAAUGGCCCAUGAGAAAAUGAGAGUCUUAGAGCAUUACAAAGGUAAGUAUGAAAACAAAAUAUCAACCUAAAAAAAUAAGUAAGCAAAGAAAAUAUCACUUAGAGAAACUCUGCAAAUACAACACACACAGUAAGACUGGGUUGUCAAAUUGAGACCACACGUACCAGUCUUGUCAAAAAAUAUUAUUCACAAUGGAGCCUCACUGCCUUCCGCACCUUUAUCAUGAAGUGAUUUCCAGGGUACGUUGUUGGAACAAAGAAGCGAACUGCAAGAGUAACUCACCCGGCUCCCCUUUCUUGGUGAGAGAGAAGCUAGGAAGCAUCCAGUGGUUGCCCACGUGUAGGGGGAAAGGUGAACUUGAAGACAUCACUUCUAGGUGGGUCGAUAGGAGGGCAGGUCCCAGGUGUGCAGGGGGUGGGCCGGCCAGGUGUGCGCUGGGGGCGACCCUGAGCGUAUUGGUGUGGAGUUCUGACUCAGGUGUUUCACGUACUCAGAAAGGAGGAUAAACCAGUAAGAACCGAGCUGUUCUUGUGUACUGUGCCCACAGCUUGGGAGGAGGCAGGGAGGGAGAGCUCACCCUAGCCAUCGAACCUGGCCUUGGGACUCCAGACCCACAGGCUCAGGAGUGAUAACUGAGCGAAUAGUAGACUUUCAUUACUUGGCUGGUUUUUCACAGUGGUUUGGGUUGGUAAUUCUGGAACUCCUUUAUAGGAAUCUGGGAUUGAACAAACAUGGGAAGAGUAGGAACUGAGUUUCUUCCUUUGGAAGGGGGAGGUACAGCUGCAGGACAGGAGAAGGACAAAUCAGCCCUUGGUGUUGACCGCAGUCGGAGGUGUCAGCCUGAGCGACCUGUUGGUAAUGUUUGUAGGUGGACCUGGAAGUAGCCCGGCCGUGCAGUCGUGUGCACAGGUGUCUGGCCGCUGUCUGCCGAUACACACUCACAGCAGUGAGACCCCAGGGGCAGUGGACACAUGAGUCACCCACGUGGCAGUCUGAGUGUCCUUCUCCUGACAGACUCCCUGGAGAAGCAGCACAUUCUAGAACUGCUGGUGAGCCAGGAGCGUCAGGCCGUGCCGGGAAGUGAGGGCGGUGCUCAGAGGGGGGCCCAGCCGGGGUACCCUGGUCACACCCGGGCCGUGGAGCACCAAAAUAAAUAGUGCAGUGAUGGUAGCAGAUUGCAGCCCUCAGAGUCCAGUAACAAUGCACUAGUUCACCCUAAUGUCAGUAAGUCGAUGAAUCAAGAAUUGGGCACGGUAGGAGGACUGUAAGUAUAUUGUAUAUUUCUCUUUUUUAAAAAAGAUUUAUUUAUUUGAAAGGCAGAGUUAGAGAGGCAGAGGGCUUCCAUCCACUUGCAGGGGCCCAAGGAUUUGGGCCGUCUUCUGCUGUGGCCCCAGACCUCCACUCACCAUCAGGGCCCAGCCCUGCACUUCCUGUUACCUGCUGAGCGCACCUGGCCCUGCCCUCUUGUUUUGUGUCCGGUCUGUUUGAACGUGGGUACCGUGUCCCUGGCGACUCUCUGGGGGCUUCCAGGUUGCAGCCCCGUGAGCCCCACCCCUAGAGGCGAUGGCCAUGUCAGGGAAACAGACACACCCAAGGCUCUGAUCCGCAGUAGGAAAGCUUAACCAAAUGCCUGUCAGUCAGUUUUGUGACAGCUGAAGAAAAACAAAACAUUUUGAGCUAAAUAGUUUUUAUGAGUAUUUUCUGAAAAAAACAUGUGAAGUCAAAUUGAGGGGUUUUUCUUCUCACAAAUAAUUUAAAGGAAUAGUUUAUCCUUUUAAAAUAAAAACAAGAAAUGCUGCUUACUAGUUGUAUGUUGUUUCUUUUCUUUUUUGUUUGAAAGGCAGUUAGAGAGAGAGAGAGAGAGGCAGAGAGAGAGAGAGAUCUUCCAUCUGCUGGUUCACUCCCCCAAAUAGCUGCAACAGCCAGGGUUGGGCCAGGCUGGAGCCAGGAGCUUCAUCCAGGUCUCCCAUGUGGGACAGGGGCCCAAGGACUUUCCAAGGGCAUAGCAGAGAGCUCGACUGGAAAUGGAGCAGCCGGGACUCAAACCGGUGCCCUUGUGAGAUGCCAGCACCGCAGGCGGCAGCUUUACUCGCAAUGCCAGAACACCAGCCCCUGUUGUUUCUUCUAGCUUCUUAAGUUAUUAGUGCCACACAGUCACUCCCAGAAGCCAUGGUACACUUGACCCGUUGAAUGAAUGUAUUCUAGGAUUUAAUGGUAAUGGGGUGGGCACCAGUUGGGCUGCCGACACCCCCUCACGGUGCCUGGGUUCAUUACCCAGCUCCAGCUUCCUGCUGUUGCGUUCCCAGGGAGGCAGCAGGAGAUGACUCGAUUGGUUGAGUCCCUGCCACCCACAUGGGAGACCCCGACUGAGUUCCUGGCCCUUGGCCUGCUCUGGCCCCGCCCCAGCCAUUGCAGGCAUUUAGGGGUGAGCCAGGAGAGGAGACCUCUGUCUGCCCCACCCCCUUCAUUAACUAGUUAACUAAAAGUUUAAAAUAAACUAAUGAUGGCUUAGUUAGGUGCCUAGAUUGCUCCCCUGCUCCAGCAUGCUAAUGUCAGUAAUUAGCAGUCUCUUCCAUUUCCAGUGAUAGCCUUUUAACUCAGAAAUUAAGACCUCCAGGGAGCUGGGAAACACGUUCCACCAGCCCCGUCUGUAUCCUGUUAGAUGUCCCAGUAGGUAUUAGAUGGCAUUUAUAACAGCGCAGGGACCUGUUGGAGAAGAUGGGUCCAGCUCCAAAGGAGUUAAUUUGAAUUUUGCUGAUAAAUAUUUUGAAUGUUGGGGCCGACGCUGUGACGCAGCGGGUUAAAGCCACCGCCUACAGUGCCGGCAUCCUAUAUGGGCACCGAUACUAGUCCCAGCUGCUCCACUUCCGAUCCAGCUCUCUGCUAUGGCCUGGGAAAGCAGUAGAAGAUGGCCCAAGUCCUUGGGCCCUGCACCCACGUGGAGGCCCUGAAGAAGCUCCUGGCUUCCGAUCCGUGCAGCUCCAGCCAUUGCGGCCAUCUGGCGAGUGAACCAGCGGAUGGAGGACCUCUCUCUGUCUGUACCUCUCUCUGUAACUCUUUUAAAUAAAUAAAUCUUUAAAAAUAAACAAAUAUUGUGAAUGCAUAAUAUGAAUGUAAUGUCUUAGAGAAACAAAUGGCGCUUGCCUAUGGGGGUUAAACUUUGUAUUUUCAAAGUUUGAAAAAGUGUGUUGAGCUAAUGAACGCAGUACCACCACUAUCUUAACUUUUUUUUUUUUUUUCAAGACUAUCUGAUUCCGUUUUGUUCAGUGACGAGUGUGAGGCCUGUUUUCAGGCUACACCACUCGCCUUACAUCGGCCUCCACUUGGACACCUUUCUGUUUCUUCCUUAUCCUCCUUGUGGUAGCAAAUGCUUCCUGAUCAGAUACGUGUGAAAGAGGCCCCCGCUGGAAUCCCAGUGGUGGCGGCCCCAGCCACUGUCCCCACUCCUCCUGCCGCGCUGUCCUGCCCGCUUCUGUCGCCUGCUGUCUGACCCCUUGCCCGGCCUCCUCCUUGGUCUCCUGGUCUCCCUGUUGAUAGACACUCUGCUCGCUGUCCGCCUCCCACAUGAGAGUGGUCACCCCGAAGACACCAGUCUGCUGCUCUGCUGGCUCCCUGUUGCCCGUAGGACAAAGGCCCCUCCUCAGGGCAGCUCACUUGGUCUUUAUCGCUCGGCCUUGGUUAGCUUUCCCACCUCAUCCCCUCCCCGCCUCGGUAUCUCAGCACUCCGCAGUGUUUCCCAGGGGAGGCACGGCUGGCAUUUUGGAUGGACACUUUGUAGCACGGAACUGGCCAGUGCAUGGCAGCAGGCUCCAGCUACCCAUCUGGUUUUUGGGGUUUUUUUGUUUGUUUAGAAAUUUUUUUUAUUUAUUUGAGAGGUAGAGUUACAGACAGUGAGAGGGAGAGAGAGAGAGAAAGGUCUUCCAUCUGUUGGUUCACUCCCCAAAUGGCCACAAUGGCUGGAGCUGCGCCAAUCCGAAGCCAGGAGCCAGGAGCUUCUUCUGGUCUCCCACACGGGUGCAGGGCCCAAGGACUUGACCCAUCUUCUACUAGCCGGCACUAGAACCAGCGCACAUAUGGGCUGCCGGUACCGUAGGCAGAGGAUUAACCUACCGCGCCACCGCGCCGGCCCCUCCAGCUGCCCACUUGCGACAGUCAGCAGUACCUCCUGGUUUCCAGAGGCUGCUUGGGAACCACAGAGUCCACGAACACCUGGUACCUGGUACCCACUCGCGUGGUGCUUGGUGCGUGGUGUUCUCUGCCUCUGGCAGCCAUCUCCGUCUGCUGCCUUUUCUAGCAAAACUGCUGUACAUUCUUUUCUUUAAAAAAAUCAUUUUAUUUGAAAGGCAGAGUCCGAGAUCUUCUGUCGCUGGUUCUCUCCCCAAAUGCCUGCCACAGCCAGGGCUGGACCAGGCAGAAGCCAAGAGCCAGGAACUCAAUCUGGGGCUCCCCUAUUGCUGGCAGGAACCCAACUACUUGAGCCAUCACUUGCUGCCUCUCAGGAAGCUGCAGUCAGAAGCAGAGCCAGAACUUGAACCCAGACACUCAGAGGAGGCCCAGUGGCUACCCUUGCUGCUGUUACAUGCUCUGAGGUUGAGAGAGAGAGACAGGGAGAAAGGUCUCCCUUUUGCUGUUGGUUCACCCUCCAAUGGCCGCCGCGGCCGGCGCGCUACAGCCAGCGCACCGCGCUGAUCUAAUGGCAGGAGCCAGGUACUUAUCCUGGUCUCCCAUGGGGUGCAGGGCCCAAGGACUUCGGCCAUCCUCCACUGCACUCCCUGGCCACAGCAGAGAGCUGGCCUGGAAGAGGAGCAACUGGGACAGAAUCCGGUGCCCCGACCGGGACUGGAACCUGGUGUGCCGGCACCGCUAGGCGGAAGAUUAGCCUAUUGAGCCGCGGCGCCGGCUCAGAUUGGGUUCUAACAUCAUUCAAAAUACCUACCCGUGCUCCCCCAGACAGAGUCAGCUCCACCUCCGUCCAUGUCCCUUGAGCCUUGAGCCCUGCACGCCUGUGUUGAAGGAGUGUGCUGUGUACCGAGGUGCCCUGCGCGGCUCCUCCAUGGAUUCCUUUGCUUUACGGUGCCUUUUGACACUGCCUGUGCCACUAUGCACUGCUGUGCACAAAGCCGUCGUGAGAACCUAUAGGGGAAGACCUGGGGUCCGGCCAGCGGCCCGUUAACAUCUGUUUCAUUGCACUUCUUUACAUAGCAUUGCAUGGCCCUAGGUACCAGGCACAGCAAGCUUCACAAAGAGGAAGGGUUCUCUUGGGACUUCAUAAUGUCCACAGGACAAAGAGGCGACGUUAAGUCAUGGUGGUUGGGCUCCUCACAGAACAACGGUGUUGAUCAAUAGACUCUUUGGAUCCCAUGCAACUUGUCUCAAAGUUUGUAUUUGACCAAAUGGAGCCAUUUCUCUCAAGAGCCAGUGCAGUCGAUAAUUGCAGCGAGCCGCUGUCACUGGCCUGACGCGUCGUCUUUGUUCCGCAGAGUUACAGCGCGGGGGCCGCUGUCACUGGCCUGACGCGUCGUCUUUGUUCCGCAGAGUUACAGCGCGGGGGCCGCGCUGCUGCUUUCUGUGGACAGUCGGCGUCCUCGAUUUACACAGCAGUGGGAUCCCAUUAGCCCAGAUAUACAUCGUGUGGACCACGCGCGCGAAAAAUUAAGACUUCCAGAGCUGCAUUAAAUCUUCAGCUGAUUUCAAAAGCAGUUUGUCUUGGUAUUUUACUUUAUUCCUUAAUCCCAGUCUACACAGUUGAUUUUUCCUGCAGUUAACUUUUCAUUGUGUCUGUGCACUGAGAUAAAACCAUCACUCCAGUUUAAUAAAAGCAGCGUGCAUAAUCCAUUUCUCUUGGCAAUUGAAUUGAAAGAUGAGUGUGAGUUUACACUGGUAUGCACUGAUAUUAUUAAUUAUAUCAAUUUAUUAAAUUUUAAUUAAAAUUAAUUUAGCUAAUUGUGCCAUCCGUAGUUAUGGGAAUAGUCAUCCUUCUCAUCACCAUCAUAAUUAACCCAACUGUAAGCAGACAGUAAUGAGGAUGCAGGCUCUGGGGAGCCAGGCAGCGUGGAUUCAGAUUCUUGGGUGGCCGCUGCUGCCCGCGUGACCUUGAGUCGCCGCUUCCUCUCUGCCUCAUUGCCUCCCUGAGAUGGGACGGCAGCCGUCCCUCGUGAGCCCAUGCGGACGGCAGGCCUGUGGCUGCCGACUCGGGCGUGCCGGCGGCCGGGGAGGGCAGUGGGGGUGGGCCGCAGCAGACGCUUGUUGAAGAUCCGACUGCUCUAACACUUGUUGCGCUUGGUCACCGUGUCGACCGCUGAUCCUAAGGGCUGGGAGAAUUGCAGACCUCCUUUGUUUCUGUUCAGAAAUCCUUUGUACGCCAUGUGGGCCCCUGACCACACUGAGGGGGGAACACCUGUGUUCUUCCCCGUUCUUGAGUUUCGUUCUCCGGUUGCGUCGUGACGGUUCCUGUGGACCCCGCUCACCCCUCAGCACGUCUGUGUUUCUGUAUUUCUGUCCAUCAGAGGCGUGGGCGGCUCACCAGGAUUCUGGAGCCGUGGCUUUGCUAGGUUUUGCCCACGUUGUAGUCCCUGAUGACACCCAAGUGUCACCCUCAUCCAGGUCCCCAGGCUUCAGCCUCAGACCCCUCAGCCUGCUGGUGUCGUCACUUGACCUCCGCACCUGCCGCUCGGGCGUUCUUGCCGUUGCCCACGCCGGAAUUCUUGGAGGUGCCCUGGCCUCUUGUUGCUCUCAUACUUCCCAGUCAGUCCACCAGCAGGUUCCAGCGUUCUUCUGCUAGAGAGGUGUCUGGAAUCCAUGUGCUUCUCAUCACCCCCAGCUCAGGUGCAGCAGGAUCCCCCGAGGCUGCCCGGGAGACUCCACUGCGCUGAGGGAGGCCUCUCCCUGAUCCAGCCCUUCCCUGUGUCCCCAGACUCUGCUUCCUGGCUGUGUCCCCAGUGCCAAAGGCAGGGCCUGGCACCGCUGAGUGCCCAGUGGGUGUUCAGCAAGCGAGGGAAGGUGCCGGUCUGCAGGGUGACCUCUCCCCAA